CUAAGGUUCAUAUUAAACAUGGCCACAGUUUCAAACGAUGGUGUCAGUGUAUGUUCCAGUAAUCCCAGUGAAACGACUGCUCAGGCUGCGGCACUUUUUUCUAGUCUUGGCUCUGUAUGACGCAGCAGCCCGUCCACCAUGUGCCAAACCUGCUUGUUAUGGGCUGAUCCAGUGAAAGCUAGCUUACAGAAGCAGCUAAUGUUUAUAUAAUAAAGAUUACAGCGGGUUUUGUUGGAUUUGUAGUGCACAUAUGUAACAUUUUUGCACUCAUGUUAUAAGGCCCUCACUAUGUGCCUGUGAUUCUGUUCAUGUGGACGUAGCGUUUUCAGUGGGAAAAACGUCACUGACAGAUGAACCCUUAGGCCCCUCCUCCAUUCAGAGAUGGUCUUUCCCUUUUCACGUAAAUGGCCUCCUUGACUCCGCCCUCAAACCAGCGUUCCUCCCUGUCCAGGAUGUUACAUCCUCAUCAUUGAAAGAGUGUCCACUGGCCUGUAGGUGUGAAUAGACUGCAGAGUCCUGGCCUCAUGAAGUGGCUCUUCCGUGUUGUGUCAUCCGCUUCGCCAGAGGUUGAUUGGUUUCCCCGAUGUAUAAAACCUGCCUGUGACACUAACUUUAACUGUGUUAUUUAUUGUAGGCUGUAUUCUCCCAGUGAUGAACAGAAUCAACGUUCUCGGACUAUUUUUCUUCUGUAUCCUGCAGCUCACCUGGUCGUCCACCCGCCGGCGGCUUCAAGUCAAGCUCGCUCACAGAGACUGCAGCCUUUCUUGCCAUAAAACUGGAUCAGAACCUAAGACUUGAGUCGAAUACAUCAAAAAUUGUUUUGGCUAAAAAAACCAACCCAAACAUUAAAUUUUCAUGCAAAUUGGAAAUGGUCCAUCAGAACAUUUUCUUUGAUUCGCGGUGGAAUGAAACAUCUUUGUCCUUCAUGUACACAAUGUGUAAAACGUAUGUUGGACUAAUCUACCCUCGGAUCUCUCGCUCUCCCCGUCUCCUGCCUUUCAACCUUUUGUGUUCAUUUUCAUUUGGAAAAUCCGAUAAAACCAACAGUCAUCGUUUCCCUUCUUCUAAAACACAUAACUCAGAUUUUGUGAAUUUAAGGCAUUCAUAAACUUGCCUCAUCGGACUCUGAUAAACCUUUUCUUUCGACAGAAAUGCUAAUAAUCAAUCGCUCCACCACUCUCUCCCUCUCAGGGUCUCUCUGCUCCAAACAGUGAUAAAGUCUCCUGCUACUUUCCUUUGAAAUGUUCAGAAAACCAAAUGUUCCUCUUGAAUUCUUCACAGGCUCGCUGACAGACUCCAUGUUUUAAUAAUUCACUUUGUUUCUUUAUCUUCCUCCAGCCUCCAUUUGUUCCUUAUUGUCUUCAUUUUCUGUAUUUGGUGGAGACAGAAAAGACGAAAUGAGAUUUCUUUUCUUUAAAUCUGUCAUUUCCGCCUGUGACACCUCCCUCAACAAACCGCUGAUAAUACAAAAUUAAACCAAAUUAUGAUGCUCAUUCAAAGCUGGUGAGUAACUUGUGUCCUUUGUGGGUUUCUGAUAACACUACUUUACAACAUAUCAAAUAACUAUCUGGAUUAUUUUUCUGUUCAAAGUCAAUACGCUGUAUGACGUUUACAAAAUUGUUCUCCAGCUGGAUCUUGAACAGAAGACGCUGAAUUUUACAGUCAUUCCCAAAAAUCUGUCGCAAUAACGCACAACUCUCAAUGCAGCACCCUGUGCACUAGUGUGGAAUAAUGAAAAUAGCCCAGCAUGUCUGCGGUAUUAUAACUGAUCUAACUGACCACUCAGAGACUGAAAGCCACAUUCAAGUGUUCUAACCAUUCAUGGCCAAUAACUGGGUUUCCUGGGAGGAGCUGGCUGGAAGAUUUCUGCGUCUAUAUUCAGACAAACAUGAGGUUUUUGUACUAGAAGACCACGUUUUCCCUAUAAUGACUUUUCUGCAUUGGCUCCCUGUUAAAUCCAGAUUUGGAUUCAUAAUCCUUCUCCUCACAUGCAAACGCUUUAAUAAUCAGGUCCGGUCAUAACUUAACAUCCAUUACCUCGCUGUUGCACUCCCCUGGAGUAUUUAAAAGUAGAAUGGGAGGGAGAGCCUUCAGUUUUCAGGCCCCUCUUCUGUGGAACCAGCUUCCAGUUUGGAUUCAGGAGACAAACACUAUCUCUACUUUCAAGAUUAGGCUUCAAACUUUCCUUUUUGCUAAAGCAUAUAGUUAGGGCUGGACCAGGUGACCCUGAAUCCUCCCUUAGUUAUGCUGCAAUAGACGUAGGCUGCCGGGGGAUUCCCAUGAUGCAUUGAGUUUUUCCUUUCCAGUCACCAUUCUCACUCACUAUGUAUUAACAGACCUCUCUGCAUUGAAUCAUAUCUGUUAUUAACCUCUGUCUCUCUUCCACAGCAUGUCUUUAUCCUGUCUUCCUUCUCUCACCCCAACCAAUCACAGCAGAUGGCCCCGCCCCUCCCUGAGCCUGGUUCUGCCGGAGGUUUCUUCCUGUCUUCCUAUUUUUAUUACAAAUUAUAUCAGCACACAAACUGAGGAAGGCAAAGAGAGGAGGUGAACCCAACUGGUUUUCCUGGGUCAUGGAGAACAAAUUACAC
ensembl:lncRNA